GACAAUAAGGAAAUACAUACUACGGGCGUCUCCAACAAGUAGCUCGCCAAUAGGUUGACAAACUGAGACACAAAAUUACCACAAUAUUCAAAGUGAGGUAGCUAACUUUGUGGGGACAGAAGUGUAAAGUGGUAAUGU